rnacentral:rRNA from 1 species
AUUAAAGUUGUUGCAGUUAAAAAGCUCGUAGUUGGACUUGUGUGCGCUGUCCGCGGGUGGCCUGCGCCCAAAAGGGCGUUUCGGUUCGGCCCCGGUGGCGCCUUGAAAUCUGCAGCUGGGGGGACGUUGGCCUUAACUGGUCGGCGACCGCACGCCGGCUGCUCGGUUACUGUGAGAAAAUUAGAGUGUUCAAGGCAGGCAUUGGGUGCAAUUGAAUACAUUAGCAUGGAAUAAUAAAAUAUGGCUCCUGCCGUAUUUUGUUGGUUUUGACUGGUGGGAGUAAUGAUUGAUAGGGACGGUUGGGGGUGCUAGUAUUGAGCGGCCAGAGGUGAAAUUCAUGGAUUCGCUCAAGACUAACUUAUGCGAAAGCAUUCACCAAGGACGUCCUCUUUAAUCAAGAACGAAAGUUGGGGGAUCGAAGACGAUCAGAUACCGUCGUAGUCUCAACCAUAAACUGUGUCGACUUGGGAUCGGCGGUAGUUUUUUCAUUAAGACACUGUCGGGACCACGGGAGAAAUCAAAGUGUCUGGACUCUGGGGGAAGUAUGGUCGCAAGGCUGAAACUUGAAGGAAUUGACGGAAGGGCACCACCAGGAGUGGAGCCUGCGGCUUAAUUUGACCCAACACGGGGAAACUUACCAGGUCCAGAGAUGUAGAGGAUUGACAGAUUGAAGCUCUUUCUUGAUCACUUCGGUGGUGGUGCAUGGCCGUUCUUAGUUGGUGGAGUGAUUUGUCUGGUUAAUUUUGUUAAUGAACGAGACCUCAGCCUGCUAGUGUAGUCGGCUGGAUUGCCUUUGGCGAUCCGUGAUUUCGACUUCUUAGAGGGACAAUCGACGCGCAGUCGAUGGAAGUUUGAGGCAAUAACAGGUCUGUGAUGCCCUUAGAUGUUCUGGGCCGCACGCGCGCUACACUGCUGGGCUCAGCGAGUUUUACUUGGCCGAGAGGCCCGGUUAAUCUUGUGAAAUCCCAGCGUGCUUGGGCUCGCCUCCUGCAACUGGAGGCGCCAACGAGGAAUUCCUAGUAGACGCAGGUCAUCAACCUGCAUCGAUUACGUCCCUGCCCUUUGUACACACCGCCCGUCGUUCCAUAAGAGUGAGGCAUCCGGUGAAUUCUCGGGAGAGCCUGGGCGUGGCCAGCAAUGGUCUGCUCGGGUUUGAACUUGCAUAAACUUGGUGCCUAUGAUUAGGG